ACUAGUUAAGAUGACUACAGGUAGUGUCAUGUAUUCGACCAUAAUGUCAUUUCUUUGUGUGACAGUCACAGUUUUCUCCCCUCUUGACAAAUGUAUAGCCUACUAAUCCUUCAGAUGUCCUCCACUUGAUGGGGAGUCUGUAAUAUCUCCAUAAAUAUCUCUCUGCUUUCAUAUCCUGCGGGAUCUUAAAACCACAAAAAAGAACACACUCAAACCAGGAACAGAGCAGCAAAUAGAUAAACUCCAUAGGCGACUGUAUGCCUUAAGGCAGAAAAACGCAUAAAGGUAUCUGGAAAAGUAAAUUGCCAGAAGCGAAGAGCACCCUCGCUUUCAAAAUCCUGUGGAUGGGGCAUUUCUGUAAGAAAUUAGCAGUGUCGAGACACAGGCUCGAAAGAGAGCCGCGUAUGGCGCUAGUCGCUGCUUCCUCGGGCAGAAAUCUCGCUGGAGCCCAGCACGGCAGUCUCGAGCACGCAGUUCGCUUUCAGACAGACACAGCUUUCGCCUCCUCUCCCAUCUCUCCUCUAUUUUCCCCCUCUCCUCUCUCUUUCUGCUCCUCGUAGAGCAGCGCUUUAAUAAAGUCACAUAAGUGAUUGAAAUUAACAUAAAUCAUUAUUAGUUAUUAGGAUUUGCUCUAAAUUACUCCGUGAAUAUAACACCAAACCCCAUCUGCCACUCCUGCUCUAGCGGCAAUAGAUUGCAGAUAAAAUAAAUGUCCUUACCCCAUUAGAAUGUUCCUGUCUCUGUAGCCAAAAGCCAAACAAAAGCAAUAAAUACCGAGCUUUUUUCUCUCCACUAUUCAGCUGUGACUGUUUUCAUCAGCUCUGCCUCUAGAAAAGCUCGAUAGCUGCCUGAAAAUAUUGCAUUUUAUAUCACCAAAGGGCGAUUAAUAUUGCAUUAACUGUAUUUAACAUUUUUUAAGCGCGAGUAAUCUGAAAUGAGUAAGUUUCUGUUACUAAAUACAGGGGAUGUCAGAGCUGGUGAAAACAGCUUAAAAUAUCUGUAUAAACAGAUUAUUUGUUUCGUACUUUGUAUUUUUAUAAUGUUAUGGUAUAGUGUGCUCUGUUUGAAGUAGAAGAAGCCAUGCUAAUGGUCUGUUUAAAGUAUUCUGACACUGUCUGGAGACAUCCAAGUCUCUGCCUUCAUUAAAUGUUUAUUGUCAACACUUCAGUGAAAAAAAGUCUCGUGUAAGUGAAUUUCCACUGCUGGAUGCUGUCAACACUUUGUUUUAUUCUGAUCCGCGUGUACAAAAGUUUGUAUACAUUAUGCUGAAGUGAAGAGAGGCAGAGAUUUAGUGCGCUAUAAUUAGUUACCAAACAAACUUUUGUUAGUAAUUCGCUUUGCAUAAUGACCAUAAUCAAGGACAAAGAUGUGUAUAUCGCCGCCUUGUCUUCUCCCGGCGCAGCCUGUACAAAGACGCGCUCAUGUUGACAUGCUGUCCUCUCGUCAAGGAACAUCUAUUUAAAAUAAAAAGGGGGAAAAAAAAAAGAAAAA
ensembl:lncRNA